CUCUUGGAGAGUUUGAUCCUGGCUCAGGACGAACGCUGGCGGCGUGCUUAACACAUGCAAGUCACGGGGGUGUCGCAAGACACAACCGGCGAACGGGUGCGUAACACGUGAGCGACCUGCC
rnacentral:rRNA from 1 species